rnacentral:rRNA from 1 species
AUUGAACGCUGGCGGCGGGCCUAACACAUGCAAGUCGAACGGGUGGCGGACGGGUGAGUAAUGUCUGGGAAACUGCCUGAUGGAGGGGGAUAACUACUGGAAACGGUAGCUAAUACCGCAUACCAUCAGAUGGGCCCAAAUGGGAUUAGCUAGUUGGUGGGGUAACGGCUCACAAAGGCGACGAGCCCUAGCUGGUCUGAGAGGGUGACCAGCCACACUGGAACUGAGACACGUUCCAGACUCCUACGGGAGGCAGCAGUGGGGAAUAUUGCACAAUGGGCGCAAGCCUGAUGCAGCCAUGCCGCGUGUAUGAAGAAGGCCUUCGGGUUGUAAAGUACUUUCGGCGGAGAGGCGUUACCCGCAGAAGAAGCACCGGCUAACUCCGUGCCAGCAGCCGCGGUAAUUC